rnacentral:rRNA from 1 species
CUACGGGUUGCACCAGUGGGGAAUAUUGCGCAAUGGGGGAAACCCUGAUGCAGCAACGCCGCGUGAAGGAUGAAGGUCUUCGGAUUGUAAACUUCUAUCAGUAGGGAAGAAUAAAUGACGGUACCUAACUAAGAAGCUCCGGCUAACUACGUGCCAGCAGCCGCGGUAAUACGUAGGGAGCAAGCGUUAUCCGGAUUUACUGGGUGUAAAGGGUGCGUAGGCGGCCAUCUAAGUCUAAAGUGAAAUUUCGGGGCUCAACCCCGGAGCUGCUUUGGAAACUGGGAGGCUAGAGUGUGGGAGAGGAAAGUGGAACUUUGGGUGUAGCGGUGAAAUGCGUAGAGAUUCAAAGGAACACCAGUAGCGAAGGCGGCUUUCUGGACCAUAACUGACGCUGAGGCACGAAAGCGUGGGGAGCAAACAGGAUUAGAUACCCCCGUAGUC